AUUAGGUGAUUGACAGUCACAGUGAAGCAACGUCGUUCCGCAGGAUACUUUCAAUACGCAGGUGUUUUGUGGACUGCUGUACAGAAUGAAGUUUGCAGCUCUCCUGCUUUUGGGAAUUAUGAUGUCAAGAGCACAAGGUAGAUGUAACCUUAUCAGCUUCUUGUGGCACAUUAACGACGUCUGUCACAUGAGACUACUGAGAUAUUACGUCACCUUCGACGGUGUUCUGACACAGCAAGACAUCCACAACACCCUCAACGCCGUGUGCAGUGAGGUGACCGAGGGCGACUUCUGUGUGCAUCCCAGUGGACGUCGGCCUGUGACAACCGAGACACCCUCCUCAGCUAUGCUGCUGUC